rnacentral:lncRNA from 1 species
GAAACCAACCUAGAUGCUCUUUCAACAGAUGAAUGGAUAAAGAAAAUGUGGAAUAUAUACACAAUGGAAUAUUACUCAGUCUUAAAGAAUGAAAUUAUGGCAUUUGCUGGUAAAUGGAUGGAGCUGGAAAAUAUCAUGCUAAGAGAAAUAAGCCAACCUCAAAAGACCAGAGGCCAAAUGUUUUCUCUGAUAUAAGGAUGCUACUUCACCAUAAGGAGGGCUUGGUAAGAAUGGAGGUACUUUGGAUUAGGCAGAGGGGAGUGAAGGGAGGGGAGGGAGUGUGGGAGAUAGGAUAGUAGAAUGAAUGGGACAUAAUUAUGAACACAUGUGACCUGACUGGUGUAAAUUCUACAUCAUGUACAACCAAAAGAAUGAGAAGUAAUACUCCACAUAUGUAUGAUGUGUCAAAAUGUCAGAUGUAACUAAUUAGAACAAAUAAAAAUUUAAAAAAAAAGUUAGUGGAGCUAGCCAAUAACUUGAUGGUUUUUAAUCAUAUUGAGUGAUUAUUGGUAUUAUUAUCCCCACCCCCCGUAUAGUAUAGUAUAAUGGGGAAAACCACAAAGUCUUUAGUUAACAGAGAAUUUCCUGAAAGUGAGUGUGAAAAAGUGUAGACAAAGUAAAUCCAUUUUGGAGUUGGGAGGGAGAGAGAGGACUGAGAGAAAGAUUAAAAUCAACCCUGUGUCACUCUUGUACCAGGAAAGGGUAGACUUGAAUCAUGUUACCUGUUUAGAAUUCUUUUGAUUAUUUUUCUUUGCCCUCAAAUAGUAGUGUUGUUGUACACGCAUGUGUGACAGGUCCAAGAAAUAUAGAAAAUAGAAAAUAAUUUGGAAGAAGAUAAACCCUGAGGCAGGAUUCAGUGCCAGCUUAGCCAAAAUAAUGAGACCCUGUCUCAAAAUUAAAUUUAAAUAUAAGAAGGUAAACCACCUCAAGUUUUAUUACCUAAAGAGAAACAUAAUUAAGAUUUUGGAUUCUGUAUAAUUCUAGUAUUUAAUUAAGCCAUGAGAAGAUUUAGUGAGAGUCUUGGGGAAAUUCAUUAAUAAUUGUGUGUGUGUGUGAGUGUAUGUGUGUGUAUGUGUGUGUCUGGGAAUUGAACCCAGAGCCUCCUGCAUGCUAGGCAGGUGCUCUACCACUGAGCUACAUCUCCAGCUUCCCAUUAAGAUUUCUGAAAUCUGCAUCUUGGUUUAUGUUACUUGCGAUCUGCAUGUUUCACAUUGAGUGUUUGGGCAUAUCUGCAUCAGACAUUGCCUUACAGACCUGGAAAUUUCCACAGAAAUCAGGCAGUUUAUAAGAACUGAAAGAGCAAGAUCAAGAUAGCUAGACCAUCAUAAAGCUAACCAGCAAGGACUGAGUACUGCCUGUCCGCAUCACGUCUCGCUGCUGCAGGGCUUUCCAGCACUGCUCCUGCCACGGCUCCCAAGGCACAGAAGACGAAGGAGGGAUGCAUUAGUGCUGUUAUUCUGCCAUGCUGACUAGAUUUAUAGAUGCAUUACCUCUCUACCUCCUGCCAAGUCUGAUGAGGGAAGCAGUUCAGAUUUUUAAAGAUCAAUGAGAAUAUUAUGCAGCAGUUUUUAAGAUAGGGAGAAAGCUGAUUUUUCCUUUCCUUUUUUUUUUAUAUACAUAGGGA